AGCUUCAUAAGAAACCACCUACACUCUUCCCAUCCAAGCUCCUAGGUGCUGCUGAAAUGAGUGAGCAGGGUAAUUGAUGAGAGUUUGGGAGCUGGGAGAGCAGUGAGCUGAUGCUUGGAGCCUUGCCGCGAUCGGACACAGUAGGUUGAUUUUCCCCUCAACAUGCAGGACCAUACCUAACGAUUCCUUACAACAAAACAGAAUACAAAGUAAAGAGGAUUUGACACACAGCAAUUCCUACCAUCCUCUUGGCCCCCCAGCCCGGGAUAUUGAAGCCAAAGUUGAAUUUGAAAAGCACAUUUUCCCAAACUCCUAUUUUAAAAGCAGACACUAUCUUAAUGGCACAGUGAUAACAAUUAUAUUCAGUUAUUUUUUCUUCGAUCCUGCCAAAGAGAUGCUUGGGAAAAGCAAAGAUUUUUAACAUCUGGCUUGCCUGAACAGAAUUCGUACUUCAGUGAAGAAUGCUACAUUAUGAAGACUUCUCUUUCAAUUCUUUUAGUUUCUGGAUAUCAAUGAAGAUAUCACCACUAAUGAAAGUGGUAAAUCUGGGGAAGAUUACUCAGAGUGGCAAGAUUGCAACAUUUUUCCC
rnacentral:lncRNA from 10 species